GACGAACGCUGGCGGCGUGCUUAACACAUGCAAGUCGAGCGAUGGAGCACCUUCGGGUGUGAAUUAGCGGCGAACGGGUGAGGAACACGUGAAGAAUCUGCCUUCAACUCUGGGAUAACUCCGGGAAACCGGGGCUAAUACCGGAUAUGAGCCUUGAUCGCAUGAUCGGGGCUGGAAAGUUUUUCGGUUGAAGAUGACUUCGCGGCCUAUCAGCUUGUUGGUGAGGUAAUGGCUCACCAAGGCGACGACGGGUAGCCGGCCUGAGAGGGCGACCGGCCACACUGGGACUGAGGCACGGCCCAGACUCCUACGGGAGGCAGCAGUGGGGAAGAUUGGGCAAUGGAGGAAACUCUGACCCAGCGACGCCGCGUGAGGGAUGAAGGCCUUCGGGUUGUAAACCUCUUUCAGUAGGGAAGAAGCGAAAGUGACGGUACCUACAGAAGAAGCACCGGCUAACUAUGUGCCAGCAGCAGCCGCGG
rnacentral:rRNA from 1 species